rnacentral:rRNA from 1 species
AUGAACGUUGGCGGCGUGCCUAAUACAUGCAAGUCGAGCGAACAGACGAGGAGCUUGCUCCUCUGACGUUAGCGGCGGACGGGUGAGUAACACGUGGAUAACCUACCUAUAAGACUGGGAUAACUUCGGGAAACCGGAGCUAAUACCGGAUAAUAUAUUGAACCGCAUGGUUCAAUAGUGAAAGACGGUUUUGCUGUCACUUAUAGAUGGAUCCGCGCCGCAUUAGCUAGUUGGUAAGGUAACGGCUUACCAAGGCGACGAUGCGUAGCCGACCUGAGAGGGUGAUCGGCCACACUGGAACUGAGACACGGUCCAGACUCCUACGGGAGGCAGCAGUAGGGAAUCUUCCGCAAUGGGCGAAAGCCUGACGGAGCAACGCCGCGUGAGUGAUGAAGGUCUUCGGAUCGUAAAACUCUGUUAUUAGGGAAGAACAAAUGUGUAAGUAACUAUGCACGUCUUGACGGUACCUAAUCAGAAAGCCACGGCUAACUACGUG